GACGAACCGUGCGACCGUUGUUCGGAUUCACUGGGCUUAAAGGGCGCGUAGGCGGAUCAGCAAGUCCGGGGUGAAAGCUUUCGGCUCAACCGGAAAAGGGCCUUGGAUACUACUGGUCUGGAGGGAGGUAGGGGCAUGUGGAACUUCCGGUGGAGCGGUGAAAUGCGUAGAUAUCGGAAGGAACGCCGGUGGCGAAAGCGACGUGCUGGACCUCUUCUGACGCUGAGGCGCGAAAGCCAGGGGAGCAAACGGG
rnacentral:rRNA from 1 species